CCUACGGGAGGCAGCAGUGGGGAAUUUUGGACAAUGGGCGCAAGCCUGAUCCAGCCAUGCCGCGUGUGGGAAGAAGGCCUUCGGGUUGUAAACCACUUUUGUCAGGGAAGAAACGGCUUUUUCUAAUACAGAGAGCUAAUGACGGUACCUGAAGAAUAAGCACCGGCUAACUACGUGCCAGCAGCCGCGGUAAUACGUAGGGUGCAAGCGUUAAUCGGAAUUACUGGGCGUAAAGCGUGCGCAGGCGGU
rnacentral:rRNA from 1 species